UCAAAAUGACGCGACAGUUUCUGCGUAUGGGGGCGGGAACCAGCGACGUUUUUCAAUCUGUCCAAUCAGCAGCCUCCAUCGUUGCCGGAAGUAUGUUUUGCUUGUUUUUUAUUCGCAAAGGGACCGUAUAGCAAGUGACAUAAAGACAUAAACGUCUGAUAAAAGAACAAUUGUAUGUCGCUGAAAGUAAAAGUGUUUUGUAAUCUUUUAACGCAAGAGAAGUUGAAGCGCACUUGAAAGUAAGCACAAAUAUUUUAAUUUUUUGAGUCAUAGCCACACACGUGCCAAUUCCGCAUCCAAUCCAUUUCGCUACGCACACUUAAGAUGGCGGCUACGUGAAAACAGCUGAUCGGUCCUGUGGCCCGCACUUGGUGUAUAUUUGUCCGUAACGUGAUUAGUUGAAAUGUUGCCGUACGCGGUACUUUCGCCCGAGAAGAAUUCUGGAAGCUGUGAACAUCAUGAAGACUGCGAAAGCGUAGUGCUCGGAUACGGAAGAAUCGAUGAAGGUUGGAAGGCAUCUCAACAGAUAGCUGGAAGACGGGAGGUGGAAAGUUGGGCGGCUUAGAGGGUCGAGUGAUCGCCGUGCUCGCCCAUACCGGCCCAGCCUCCGCCCCUGCGGAUUUUUUUCACGGCAAUGCUGAGGAGGACACAGCCAGUGAGGAGUCCGCUGAAGUGCCCCCUGCCCCACCAGCAGCUGCGCGCGUCUCGGUGGGCACGGAGCCGGGGACCAGUGGCACUGCACCUCGGCAGCAGCCCCGCAGGCCACCCCGACUUCAGGUCCUCACGGACGCCGCAUCGAGCACGGCCGCGGACUAUGCCCGGCAGAGCCGGUUAGCUGAGGCGGCAAACGCGGAGGCCGCAAGCUUCCACCAGCAGUUGCUGCAGCAACAUCGGCAGCUGGUGGAAGAGCAGCGAGCGACACGGCAAGUCCUCGAGCAGCUGGUGGCCGAGAUGCGUGGUUCGCGAGAGGCGAACACUCUCAUUGCGACCACGCUGCGCCAGCUGCUGGCUGCCCUGGCCGACCUGCGCGCGCCGCCUCAGCAUUAAGGGGCAGCUUUUUUUUUUUUUUGCCAUAUCAUCCUUUAGUGCUUUGUUAGGUACAAGUGUCACCAAUCUAUGCAUGUUUUUUUUUUAUGCAGCACUAAAGGAUGAUAUGGCUGUUUUCCAUAAUUUCUGUCCCUAAUCAAAAUUUUUUUUUUCAAGGUAAUUUCUGUCAUGUUUAUUUUAAUAUCUAGUGCAAGCUUCGCGUUACUAUUCAUUACCGUGUUCUUUUAGUGUGUCGUUUAGUCAUUUUGUGUAAUUAUCUAUGUUUAUUUGAUUAUCUAUGUUCUAUCUAUCUAUCUAUGUGUAAUUAUCUGUCAUGUUUAUUUUAAUAUCUAGUGCAAGUUUCGCAUUUCUGUUCAUUACCGUGUUUUUUUUUAGUGUGUCAUUUAGUCAUUUUGUGUAAUUAUCUAUGUCCAAGUGCGACGGCAUAAGGUAUAUUUACAAUUUCUGUCAUAUUUUUGCGUUUCUGUUUUUUACCGUAUUUUUUUCUCCAAGUUCAUUUCAUGUGUAUUAUUCUUUGUCCAAGUGAGACGGUAUAACUUAUAUGCACAUUUUUUGCCGUAUUUUCGUUAGGUGUUCUUCACUUUUGUUUUGCUGUUACUGAUAUGUUUCAAUGUGCGCCGCUCUUCCACGGAAGAUACACUGUGCAAUCACUUUUACGCCAACUAUGACAUUGUCUCGCACACAUACAGGUGCGCUUAAUAACUACAAUACUGUGAUACCUGGAAAUCAAUUUUCAUGCCAUAUGUAUGUCAUGUUUGCAAUGUAUAAUCAUUCGUGCCUACGCAAAGUAGCCGAAUUGGUAUUUUUGUUAACACCAAGUGUACACACCCGAGCAGCAGGAAACGAAAGAGCGCUUUAUUGCGAGAAGCAUGUGUGUUUAUACACAGGCAGGCCAGGCUUGCACAUGCGUAUCAAGAUAUUCUUGAUGAUGAAGCCACUGGUCACACCAAGCACCUGUUACCUGUGGUGGUCGCUGUGAUAUUUCAGGUGUCCUUACCUAUGAUAGCAAUACAAUCUAGUCCCCAUUGUAGUUGAGCACAGUUUGUGACGUAUGUAGCAGAGCCAUCGAUGUGGCCGCUAUUUUGACAUUCGCUGCCAGGCUGGUCUUGCAGCCGUUAUAUGAAAUACCGCUUUAGUGCCAAGCAUUUUCUCACUUGUCGUUCCUUAGAAGCAUGUCAUGGCUGCUUUAUAUUGUGAUCUUAUUACGGCACUAGUCAUUGAAAAGAAACUGUUUUGUGCUGCAAACAUGCCAACUACAUAAUAGAGAA